GCCAUUAAAAUUAAUCAUGGUUGAAAUGUUUAAAGACAAAACUUUUAACAAAAUUUACUUUUGAGCUACUUUUAAAGUUUUCAGCGAUAAAAAAUGCACAGAAAAAAAAAUUUUCAUAGCAAGAACGCAUUUAAAAUUUAAUAGAGCCUGAUGUGAAAAAUCAAAACAUAUUUUAAAAUACUUUAUUUUGUCACACCCUAAUUUCCUAUCCCUAUAUAAUACAAUUAUUAUGUUAAAAACAGCAAAAUAGAGCUAAUUUCUUGCAAUUGUUAACUUAUUUUCGUGGGAGGAAUAAGCUUCUUGGUUAAAAUGAAAAUUUAAUUUAUUUUCUCAGAAACUGAGCCAUGCCAAACCUGACGAGAGGUGGCGACCAAAACGUUCAUAUUAAUAAUUAGCUUCUCGCGCGUUUAACCAGUUCUCAGUGUUCAAGAGGCAGCCACGCUGUGAACAACACAAUGAUGCUCUUCAGGUACUUCUUUUGCGUUCUGCUGGCCCUUACCUCCAUCAUCGGAGCUGUCUCGGCGUUACCUGUCGCAGAUGAUGAUUCGUUAACUGAGAGCCCAACAACAAUAGAAGAGGAUCAACCAAUUCAAUUCGCUCUUACACGCAUAUUGGUUCCUCAAAAUAGGGUCCGCGGCAAAACAAGUAGCGGUUGAAAUAUGAGAACUGGAACAAAGAGACGAAUAUAGAAGUAAAAACUCACGAUAUUUGUUGUUUCGAUUUAUUAACCUGUAAUUUUAGAAGAAAAUUAUUGUAAUAAAUUGUUGAGCUUUUAAUUUAUAUUAAAAGAAUAAAACUAAUUUUAAUUCAA